rnacentral:tRNA from 1 species
GCCUGGGUGGCUUAGUCGGUUAAGCAUCCGACUUCAGCUCAGGUCACAAUCUCACGGCCCAUGGGUUCGAGCCCCACAUCAGGCU